rnacentral:misc_RNA from 1 species
UCUCCGUUGGUGAACCAGCGGAGGGAUCAUUACCGAGUUUACAACUCCCAAACCCCUGUGAACAUACCAUUUGUUGCCUCGGCGGUGCCUGCUUCGGCAGCCCGCCAGAGGACCCAAACCCUUGAUUUUAUACAGUAUCUUCUGAGUAAAUGAUUAAAUAAAUCAAAACUUUCAACAACGGAUCUCUUGGUUCUC